AAAGACCUUUAAGAAAGUUUUCUUAACAUGAUUGUUGUCAGCCUCUUACCUUCUCCCUUCUUUCCUGCUUCACUUUGCACUGUGUGGCCUCACUUCAAGCACUGGGUGCAGUUUUGGGUGUCACAACAUAAGAAUGCCAUAAAAACAUGAGAGGGCAUCCACAGGAGGGCCAUGAUGAUGGUGAAAGGUCUGGAGGGCAAGUAGCAUGAGGAGGGGCUGAUAUCUCAUUGUUUGUUCAGCUCAUAGCAGAGGAGGCUGAGCAGAGGCCUAAUGGCGGCCUGCAGCCUCUCACAUGGGGAGUGGAGGGGCAGCACUGAGCUCUGUUGGUGACAGCCAGGGAAGGAGCUGUGGAUAUUGCUGAUACCACAGAAGCACCUCUUCCAGCCCUCCUGCAUCCUUGUGGUCACAAGGGGAAGAUAACUACUGAGGGCUUCUAACAUUAUUUCCAAGGAGAGCUGCUUGCUGCAUGAUUAUCUUGCCUUUUGGAGAGCCCUCUCUCUCCACCAUUGAUAAGCUUCUACAGGAUUUGCAGCAGUUGUCUGAAGGCACCUGGCCUACCCAGCUCAGUGAAAGCCCCCAGGGACCCACGUGUCUGGAAGAUGGAAGACUGUCUGAGCCCUUCUGUGAAAGAGCAGUACCGUGACCUGGCAAGGAGCCACAGCCCUUGAGUUACUCCAGCGAGAUGAGAAUGCCCCAUGACUCCCAGCAACACAGGCUGCCAAGAGUGCAUCAAACCUCCAGCACUCCGUCCUGGGGAGCUGAGCCACAUUCCAAGACUCCAGCAUUAUCUACAAAGUGGUUUUGCAGCAUGGACUGUACUCUUGGAAGUUUUAGUUGAAAGAUGCUUCUUUUCUCAAAAAGAAGCAUGAUAACUGGAUAACUUGUAUGUUUGAGAAUAUAUGCACACUGUGUCUACAACAGGCUGCAGUUAUUCUGAAAGUAAAAGAAACUUCUCA